rnacentral:rRNA from 1 species
AGCAGUAGCCACGGUAAUACGUAGGGUGCAAGCGUUAAUCGGAAUUACUGGGCGUAAAGCGUGCGCAGGCGGUUAUAUAAGACAGAUGUGAAAUCCCCGGGCUCAACCUGGGAACUGCAUUUGUGACUGUAUAGCUAGAGUACGGCAGAGGGGGAUGGAAUUCCGCGUGUAGCAGUGAAAUGCGUAGAUAUGCGGAGGAACACCGAUGGCGAAGGCAAUCCCCUGGGCCUGUACUGACGCUCAUGCACGAAAGCGUGGGGAGCAAACAGGAUUAGAUACCCCCGUAGUCCCUGUCUCUUAUAC